ACUCAAAGGAAUAGACGGGGGCCCGCACAAGCAGCGGAGCGUGUGGUUUAAUUCGAGGCUACACGAAGAACCUUACCUAGGGUGGACAGGUGGCUAGUAGGGAACCGAAAGGGGACCGACCCGCAAGGGAGGCCACUCAGGUGCUGCAUGGCUGUCGUCAGCUCGUGCCGUGAGGUGUUAGGUUAAGUCCUGUAACGAGCGCAACCCCCGGGUCUAGUUACACGCUGUCUAGACCGACUGCCCGUGACAAGCGGGAGGAAGGUGGGGAUGACGUCAAGUCAGCAUGGCCUUUAUCUCUAGGGCUACACACACGCUACAAUGGCCGGUACAAUGGGUCGCCAAGCCGCAAGGCGGAGCCAAUCCAGACAAAGCCGGUCCCAGUUCGGAUUGGGGGCUGCAACCCGCCCCCAUGAAGUCGGAGUUGCUAGUAACCGCGCGUCAGCCAUAGUGCGGUGAAUACGUUCCCGGGCCUUGUACACACCGCCCGU
rnacentral:rRNA from 1 species